UACAGAGGGGGCAAGCGUUAUUCGGAAUUAUUGGGCGUAAAGGGCGCGUAGGCGGCCUGGCAAGUGGAAGGUGAAAUCCCUCGGCUUAACCGAGGAACUGCCCUCCAAACUGCUUGGCUUGAGUCCGGGAGAGGUGAGUGGAAUUCCCAGUGUAGCGGUGAAAUGCGUAGAUAUUGGGAGGAACACCCAGUGGCGAAGGCGGCUCACUGGACCGGAACUGACGCUGAGGCGCGAAAGCGUGGGGAGCAAACGGG
rnacentral:rRNA from 1 species